CAGUCAGAUCCAUUGCCAAAGAUUCAUGGAAUGAAUGACAGCUUUGGAAAGAUCAAAAUACAGUGCAGUAGCAAAAUAAUAAAACACAUCCAAUACCUCUUGUCCCUCUGAAAAAAGAAAAAGGCCUUGUUUCUCUUUCAUGGAAAAAUAUGUACUUGGCCCAGUGCUUGACAGAUCUGACAGACAGGUGCUUGCUGACUGAUCUUCAGCCUCUCCCUACAUACUAACUCUUCUGUUGCCUGAAAAUGACAUAUGAAAGGCUGCCUUUAUCUUUCAAAAUAAAACAAAAAAACUAGUUGUUUGCA